UCAAUCAAAGAAGCCAAUAAAAGGUAAUCUAAACAGAUAUGCUUCUUACAGUUGCAGAAAAUUUCUUAAUAUUGAUUUUACGUUUCUUAAUAUUGAUUUUACGGGCAGUUCUAGCAGGAAUAUUCUUCAUGCUAUGGCUUUUCUUUCCUUGUUUUUUGGACUUGUACGAAAACCUUCAGAGACUAAAGAGAACUGGUAGUCUUCAUAUGAAGAAAUGCAACAGAGAGAAAAAAGAACUUGAGCUAUAUUAAUCUCAACAACUUAACUGAUUACAAUGAUCUCUGUACAAGUAUAUAACUACAGUUAUCUUGUAAACUAAGCUGCUCUAACUACUGUACACGAGAUAAAAGCAGCUGCAACAAACUAACUUUCGCACCAAUCUUGACUUUUACUUUCUUCUGCUUUUCAUUAGUCAAAUGAUCUAAUACUUUAUGCAUUUUCUGGUUGUUAAAAAAAAAAGACCAUGUAGACAGGAUCAUCUAGGUUUCCUUUGGUGGAUUUUUUCGUUGUUCUUCUAGUAUGAAGGAUAAAUAAUUUUAAGAAUACCUUGUCUUGUCUCCUCAACCAUACAUUAGUCCAUGGAACUAAAACAAAUUACAUUAUCGCAUUUGCUUAAUUCACAACCACCACUACAGUAUAGUUUGUUAACUCUCUUUAGAUGCCUGAUUUAGAGUUUGUCAGUUUUAAAGAUGGAACUACAAAAAGAGGAGAUAAGGUGUUGACACGAAAACGAAGUGUGAAGAAAGAUGAUAAGGUACAAGAUGAUGCGCAACACGCAGUAGCAAACUUCAAUUUAACUCGCCCGCCAUCUAAUUUUGUUAAGAGGUCACCAAUACCAUCCCCAUCAAUCGCAAGAGGAAAUGCUAUUGAGUUGAGCAGUGAUCCAUCAACAACUACGGACAGUGACAAGGUGUUAGUAUUGCCAAGAAUAGAGGAAAUGAAACUCUCCGAGUUGAAAGAACUAGCAAAGUCAAGGGGACUUAAAGGUUACUCGAAGUUGAAGAAGAGUGAGCUUUUGGAAUUGUUAAGGUCCUAAAAGCCUAGAAAAAAAGAACACAAACUAGCGGCUUGAAGUUAAUGGAUUUCAGAAGCAAGAAAGAGGUGAGGAAUUGUAGUGUUUUUACAUUCAAAGUGUUUGAUUUUCACUCUAUUUUCUUUCUUUUAUAUUUUUAAUUUUAUAGCCUUCUAAUAGUAAUGCUUAUUGGAUUUACAACUCUAUAGUUGGGAAAUUGCUCUAAUCCCUAAAUUUCAUUGAGCAAUUGAACCUCCCUUUGUCAUGUAGAGUAAUUUAUUAAAAAAAAAUCAUUUUUUAGUAGCCAAAUGAGUUUGUUUUGGGUUUUAAUUUAUUGGUUUGACUAGUUUUAUGUGUUAAUCAUAUUUUUAUUUUUUGCUAUAUAAGGUUUUCUGAUUUCUUUAAUGGUCUCUUAGGUUUUAUGGUAUGGAUUUCUUGAUACAAGAUUAUGAAUUUCUUAUUCUUUUCGAGUUAAAAAUAAAAAAUAAAAAUCAAAUAUAAUUGUUUGAGAAUUUAAUUGAAUUUUUUUUUCUAACAAGUGAUUUAUUCUAAAGAAAGCUGAUAUAAAUUCAUUGGGAGCAGUUUUUGCCGUUGAUUAUGCAGGAAAUGUAAGUUUAUCUGUAGACUAGUACCUUCUCUAUGUAAAGGUAGGAUUAUGAGCAGACGUUGCAGAUCUGUUUACAAAUCUUGAGCUAUGUAAGUUUUUAUUAAAGCUUCAUCUGAUAUUAUAUGUCACAAUGAAGGGUUCAAUUAUUUGCGAAUUCUUAAGCGGAACUCGUGCACACUUGAAAACAUGGUGGACCAGUAUAAUUAGUAGGAUAUGUUGCAAGUUAAUAUUGAAGGUAGAGGUCGUUUGGGUUGUGGACAGAUAUAAAGUUUAGUAUAUUUUGAUAAAAUUAUUAUGAUUUUAUUAAAAGAUAUAUGCUUUCUCUACCUCAUAUGCGCGUGUAUUCUUAAUCAACUCAACUCAACUUAACUUAACUA
rnacentral:misc_RNA from 1 species